AGCAAGGUGGUCUAAAUUAAGGCGUCAGGUUGUAGCCCUGGAAAUAACAUUAGUUUCUUGCA
rnacentral:tRNA from 1 species